rnacentral:lncRNA from 1 species
CAGCAUUUGAACCUAAUACAAGUUUCUGUGUAUUCAUUUGGGCCCUAACUCAGGUGGGCGGCUGGUGUAGAGCGCACACAUGGCGGUGGGGCUAGGCGGUUUUUGGCAGAAAGAUUUAUCAUAACAAAAGGGAGCCGUGAAGAUAGAUUUGUUGCAAUGAACAUUUGCAAGUAGAGCUGUUUGGGCAAAAGAGUAUACUGUGUGACACACUGAAGCUUCCAGUGCCACUAUGGCAAUGGGCGAAUGUGAUGGAGAGGAGGGAACGUUUUGGAGGCUGCUCAGUGCUGUCCUGGGACGGCUCCUCAGCUGGAAGCUGGAAGAGACAGAUAAGCUCCGCCUUUAGAGAUCUGUGGGGGUUGCAGUUUGAGUUUAUCCCUUUCUGAGUCGACACUCUGGAUGAUUUCUCUGUGAUCACGAAUGGUUUCCUGGUCGCCAGCUCUGCCUCUAUGGAUUUACUGCCUGGAUAGAAGAAAUUAAAAGAGGAAGAAUGUCUUUGGGACACUGGAGGAAAUAGGUGAGGAGUGUAUAAUUACAUAAGAACAACACUUACCCUUCAAGAAUGAUAAUGAAAUGGAUUGUAUUCAAGUGAACAAAAGCCAAGAUAAUUUACCUCCAAAACAUCUUGAGAAGCCAGGUGUGGUGCACACCUGUAACCCCAGCACUUGAGAAAUGGGGGACCAGGGGUUCAAGAGACAAAACAAAGCAAGCAGAAAAGAGUCCUUAGCUGGCUGAGGAUGCAGUAAAGUGUUUUGUCAAGCAGCACCAACAGGCAGAAAACCCAAAGAUCUUCAGUGAAGAAGCAUCUUCAGGAAAUCCAUGUGUAUGGGAAAUAAGGAAGGUGCAGGCUGGGGAGGUGGCUCAGUUGGUAAAAAGCCUGCCACACAAGCAUAAGAAGCUGAGUUAGGAUCGAAACACCCACAUAAAAGCCAGUCAUGGAUGUUUGUGUCAGUAAUUGAAUAGGGAGCACUGGGGUAGAGACAGGAGACCCCCCAGAACUCACUGGACAGCCAGUGUGGAUGAAUAGUGAGCACCAGGUUCAAUGAGAUACCCUGUCUCUAAAAAUAAGGUGCAAUAAAGGACAUAAUGUUGAAAUUCUGUUCUCCCUGACCAUGUAUUCUGACAAUCACACACUGACACAUAAAAUCACACACACACACACAUAUAUAUGCAUGAACAUAUAUAUACACACAUUAAAUUAAGAAAAAUGAGGAAAAGCAUUCAGAAGAGAG